rnacentral:misc_RNA from 1 species
AACUUUUGGCAAUGGAUCACUUGGCUCUCGCAACGAUGAAGAACGCAGCGAAAUGCGAUACGUAGUGUGAAUUGCAGAAUCUCGUGAAUCAUCGAAUCUUUGAACGCAACUUGCACUCUGUUUCGGCAGAGUAUGCCUGUUUGAGAAUCUAUAGAAUUCUUUGGCAAGUUUUGCCGAGAUAUGAGCGUUUUAACUAUGACUUUGUCAGUGAUAAAUCGCUUUAAAUCUAUAGCUCAGCUGCAGACAUGCAAUGCUUGACAGUCGAGUGAAUGAAGGGGUCACCCACAUCCUCGAUCGACAGCUAGUCUGUGGCCCGAGUCCACUAAAUAUUAAUUUAACUUAAUUUAAAUCUUGGUCUCAAAUCAGGUAGGAAGACCCGCUGAACUUAAGCAUAUCAAUAAGCGGAGGCU